rnacentral:rRNA from 1 species
UCGUAACAAGGUUUCUGUAGGUGAACCUGCGGAAGGAUCAUUG